AGGCAAAGUGAUUGGGCUAGACCU
rnacentral:siRNA from 1 species